rnacentral:rRNA from 1 species
AUUGAACGCUGGCGGCAUGCCUUACACAUGCAAGUCGAACGGUAACAGGUCUUCGGAUGCUGACGAGUGGCGAACGGGUGAGUAAUACAUCGGAACGUGCCUAGUAGUGGGGGAUAACUACUCGAAAGAGUGGCUAAUACCGCAUGAGAUCUACGGAUGAAAGCAGGGGAUCGCAAGACCUUGUGCUACUAGAGCGGCCGAUGGCAGAUUAGGGAGUUGGUGGGAUAAAAGCUUACCAAGCCGACGAUCUGUAGCUGGUCUGAGAGGACGAUCAGCCACACUGGGACUGAGACACGGCCCAGACUCCUACGGGAGGCAGCAGUGGGGAAUUUUGGACAAUGGGCGCAAGCCUGAUCCAGCAAUGCCGCGUGCAGGUUGAAGGCCUUCGGGUUGUAAACUGCUUUUGUACGGAACGAAAAGCCCCGGGUUAAUACCCUGGGGUCAUGACGGUACCGUAAGAAUAAGCACCGGCUAACUACGUGCCAGCAGCCGCCGUAA